CUGUAAUGGCCCAACAAUGGACAGCGUGGAUGGUCUGCAUCAGUGGGCAUCAGCUCCUACUCUUGCUCAGAAGUCUUCGCUUUUUGGUCUGGCUGAUUCAAGUUAAAAGACUAGGUUCACGUGCACAUUGUGCCUGAGUUAUAGGAAACUUCUACACUUGACACUCCAUUCAGCUCUACUCCAACCCCAACCCCUUGCUUCAGCUGGUUCCUGUGAUGGCUAGAAGAGCAAAGAACUGAUGGCUCCAAUCGGACAACUUGCUGUUAGGAGUAGAGGAACCCU
rnacentral:lncRNA from 1 species